ACUGUAAAGCGCCAGGGCUAUGACGUUCGAAACAAUCAUAGCUGACGAGGAGGAGGUUUAUCGAGUUUGAUCGGCGGAUACCUCCCGGUUGUACAUCUCAACCGACAUGUCUUUAUUCGAAAGCGAAAAGGCAACUUUUUGUACAAGAAG
rnacentral:ncRNA from 1 species